rnacentral:rRNA from 1 species
AAGGGCACCACAAGAGCGUGGAGCAUGUGGCUUAAUUUGACUCAACGCGGGAAAUCUUACCGGGUCCGGACAUAUCGAGGAUUGACAGACAGUUACCAUGCCCUUUCGAAAGGAGUCAGGUUUUAAACCUAAUGGCUCUUUCAUGAUUAUAUGAUAGGUGGUGCAUGGCCGUUCUUAGUUCGUGGAGUGAUCUGUCUGCUUAAUUGCGUUUCAAAUUUUUAUUUGAGGACCAGGUUUUGGUUUGGGUAGUGGUCCUACGAUGACUGUGAACAGUCAUGUCUUCGGAUGUGCGACUAUCGGUCUAGGAUCGCAUCUCAGCCCCUGGGACUCUUUUGAACGCAACGGACGUGAUUGCAACCCCUUGUUGAGAUUAGAGGAGUCUCGAUAUUCAUUGGCCAAACUUACCGCUUCGAGCUUGCUCGUGCAGUUUUGUUAGCCGGUGGAUAAACUCGGGGGACUGCUGACUAUAACCAUUUCUCAAAACAGAGGAAGGUUGCGGCAAUAACAGGUCUGUGAUGCCCUUAGAUGUCCCGGGCUGCACACGUGCUACAAUGAGUGGCGCAAUGUGUGCAAUUUGUAAGGGAUAAGAGUGUGGUCAGUAUGCCGUCGGGAUUCCCCCUGACGUCUCCAGCACACGAUUAUCAGCCUUCCUAACAGGGCGGGUAACCUUUUCAAAAUACCAGUUUGAUUUAAAGCUUGGGUCAAUUAGGGUGAUGGUUCGAUAGAACCAAUAUCACCCAGCUGCUACUCGNNNNNGCGUGUUAUUCCUGGUGACUCAUGGUGGGGACCGACAUUUGAAUUGUCUGUCGCGUGUUAACCGGGAACGCCUUGUACUGUCGAUUCACUAAGUUAUGGGAAUACGUCCCUGCCCUUUGUACACACCGCCCGUCGCUCUUACCGAUGGCUUUGGCUGCGAGUAAAAGGGACUUUCGUUUUGGAACUUUGUCGAACAGAUGGGGCUAAAGGAAAGAGAAGUCGUAACAAGGCAUCAGUAGGUGAACCU